rnacentral:rRNA from 1 species
AUGCCUCCCCUCUACAUAUUAUCACUCGGGCUUCUUCUAUUGCACACUACUCCUUGGUGCUCCUCCUCGGCAACUGCAAGCAAUGACACUCUCAUGGCAGGCCAAGAGCUGGCCUUCGGUGACAAGGUCGUCUCGAGAAACGGCAAGUUCGCGCUUGGCUUCUUCCAGUUCCAUCCAGCAAGCACCAUCAGUAAGUCAUCCCACAACACCACAUCUCCCAGCCCCAGCUUGUGGUACCUUGGCAUAUGGUUCAAUAAGAUCCCAGUUUUCACAACUGUAUGGAUUGCUAAUAGGGAUCAGCCCAUCACCAACUCCAGUGUCAACCUAACACAGUUAAAGAUAUCAAGCGAUGGCAAUCUUGUCAUCGUAAACCAUGCCGCCGACAACGAAUCCGUUGUUUGGUCCACUCACAUUGUCAAUAAAAGGACACACAGCAGCAUCAAUGCCACUAGUUCUGCCGUUCUCUUGAACAGUGGAAACCUUGUCCUCAAAGAGAGCCGGUCAUCUGACCUACUAGCAUGGCAGAGCUUCGACUACCCAACAGAUGUUGUGCUUGCUGGUGCCAAGUUAGGCCGAAACAAGGUCACUAGUUUCACUCGCCAACCCAUCUCAAAGAAGAGCCUCAUUGAUCCGGGGCUCGGCUCAUACAGCAUUGAAUUAGAAGACACCAGGGGGCUUGUCCUCAGUCGCCGCAACAACCCAUCUGUAGUGUAUUGGCAGUAUACAUCCUCCACAACAUCAUCAUUCAAUCUUGUACGAGUACUCAACUCGCUGCUUGAUUCGAAUUCUCUAACCAAAGGUUUAUAUAACCUAGUAUAUGUUGAUAACGACCAAGAAGAGUACUACAUGUACACUUCACAUAAUGAAUCAUCGCCUUCUGUAUUUGUCUCACUAGACAUGUCUGGUCAGAUAAAGCUGAAUCGCUGGUCGCAAGCUAAUCAGUCUUGGCAAAUCAUAUAUGCCCAACCUGACGAUCCCUGCAACCCGCCUGCUGCCUGUGGACCUUUUACGGUCUGCAGAGGCAAUCCAAAUCCAUCAUGUGACUGCAUGGAGAGCUUCUCUCAGAAGUCACCGCAGGAUUGGAAGUUUCAGGAUCGAACAGGAGGAUGCAUCAGAAAUACACCGUUACAUUGCACUAGUGGCAAAAACAUCACAAGUUCAACGGACAUGUUCCAGCCCAUUGCUCAAGUUACAUUGCCCUACAACCCACAAAGCAUAGCCGUUGCUACCACUCAGACCGAAUGUGAAGAAACUUGUCUCAGUUCCUGCUCCUGCACUGCUUACUCCUAUAAUGAUAGCAAAUGCUCUGUCUGGAACGGGGAGUUGCUUAGUGUAACUCUUAGUGAUGGCAUUGAGUACACUUCUGAAGAUGUUCUUUAUCUCCGUCUUGCUGCCAAAGAUUUCAUGCCAAGUUUGAGGAAAAACAAAAGAAAACCGAACGUUGGAGUUGUUACCGCUGCAAGCAUUAUUGGUUUUGGGUUACUCAUGCUCAUGUUUCUGUUACUGAUUUGGAGGAACAAAUUUAAGUGGUGUGGAUUUCUUCCAUUAUACUAUGACAAUCAAGGCAGUGCUGGUGGGAUUAUAGCCUUCAGAUAUACUGAUUUAGUUCGUGCUACUAAAAACUUCUCUGAGAAGCUGGGUGGUGGAGGUUUUGGUUCUGUAUACAAGGGCGUGCUAAGUGACUCAAAGACUACUGUAGCAGUGAAAAGGCUUGAUGGUGCCCGUCAAGGAGAGAAGCAGUUCAGGGCCGAGGUGAGUUCAAUUGGACUGAUCCAACAUAUCAACCUUGUCAAAUUGGUUGGUUUCUGCUGCGAAGGUGAUCACAGAUUACUUGUGUACGAGCACAUGUUAAAUGGUUCUCUUGAUGGUCAUCUGUUUAAGAAGAGCAAUAAUGUUGAUGCUGUUGUGCUAAACUGGAACACUAGAUAUCAGAUAUCCCUAGGAAUUGCCAGAGGAUUGUCGUACUUGCAUCAGAGUUGUCACGAGUGCAUCAUACACUGCGAUAUUAAGCCAGAGAACAUACUUGUGGAUGCAUCAUUUAUUCCUAAAGUCGCAGACUUUGGAUUGGCAGCAUUUGUGGGGAGGGAUUUCAGCCGAAUUCUGACUUCAUUCAGAGGAACGAUAGGUUAUCUUGCCCCAGAGUGGCUUAGCGGAGUGGCGAUCACACCGAAAGUUGAUGUUUACGGCUUCGGCAUGGUACUGCUGGAAAUCAUAUCAGGAAGGAGGAAUUCCUCACCUGAAACAUCACACACUACUAAGAGCAGCAGCCAACAUGAUGAAUAUUUCCCGGUGCAAGCCAUCAGGAAGCUUCACGGGGGAGAUGUGAAGAGUUUAGUGGAUGCACAGUUGCAUGGUGACUUCAACUUGGAAGAGGCUGAAAGGGUUUGCAAAGUUGCAUCUUGGUGCAUCCAAGAUAGUGAGUUUGAUCGGCCGACUAUGAGUGAAGUGGUUCGUGUUCUCGAGGGUCUACAGGAGAUUGAUAUACCCCCAAUGCCAAGACUCCUUGCAGCUAUGAUGGAACAAUCUGAUGCUGCAACUUCAAUGUAA